UAGAAACCUCUGCGCCUCUGACAUUGUGAGUGUUUUAAGUAGAAAUAAGAGAUGGCAGAGAGCAGAUUAAGAUUGGCAUUUCAUAUCUCGUUAGUGUUGAUGGCAGUUAUGUUGAAGGUGAAGGGAGAUCCCACUUGCAGUCCGGCUGGGAACUUCUGGUGCAACAGUGGACGGUGCUGCAGCAUAUAUAACUGGUGUGGUAGUACAUCAGAUUAUUGUGCAUCUGGAAACUGCCUUGCUCAGUGCUGGCCUAAUGCUGUUGCACUUAAUCAGUCUAGUUUGAAUGUAUCCCGACAGAACCUCACCUCUUAAUCAGUUAGUUUGAAUGUAUCCCGACAGAACCUCACCUCUGCCUCUCCAUAGCAACCCAUGACUGUUAUCUGGCUGCGUGCGGGGAAUUUAACUAUUAGAAAAUCUAAUAGCUUAUUAGAAUUGGUUAAUGGCUUAUUAAAUGAGUGGAGUUAUAUCAAGGAUUUCCAGCAUUAUGUAGUUGCAGUUAUGUUAAGAGGAUUUGUUUGCAAAAUAAUGGUUACAAGGUUGAGUUGUAAUAUGUGUUAUUUUAUGCACACAGUGUGUUCUUCUAUAUUGUGUACGUGAAACCUUAGAUCUGUCUAGAAAUGCACUAUAAGAUCAUCUUUCUUUUUCA